CCUACGGGAGGCAGCAGUGGGGAAUUUUGGACAAUGGGGGAAACCCUGAUCCAGCGAUGCUGCGUGCGGGAAGAAGGCCUUAGGGUUGUAAACCGCUUUCAGCUAGGAAGAAAAGGUUAUAGUUAAUAUCUGUAACUUAUGACGGUACUAGCAGAAGAAGCACCGGCUAACUACGUGCCAGCAGCCGCGGUAAUAC
rnacentral:rRNA from 1 species